UACAGAGGUCCCAAGCGUUGUUCGGAUUCACUGGGCGUAAAGGGUGCAUAGGUGGCGAGGUAAGUUUGAUGUGAAAUCUCCGGGCUUAACCCGGAAAUGGCAUUGAAUACUCUCUCGCUAGAGGGUUGGAGGGGGGACUGGAAUUCUCGGUGUAGCAGUGAAAUGCGUAGAUAUCUGGAGGAACACCGGUGGCGAAGGCGGCGUCCUGGACCAACACUGACACUGAUGAGCGAAAGCCAGGGGAGCAAACGGG
rnacentral:rRNA from 1 species